AUGAGUGUCAAGUGUACGUGUCAUAGAGAAAUGCAGGCGCCUCUGGCCCUUCUCUUCCUAAAGGAGCUCGUUCAGGUCCACGCCGAAGCCUCCGAUGCAGGCCAUUGCAGACAGGCCCCGGCAGCAUCAGCUCGGGCUCCCCUCCAGAAACGUCAGGGAGGCCUGCUCUGGAGACUCCUCCACACCUCCCGCCUCUGCCACGCUUCACAACUGCGCCCUGGAGAGGAGCGGCCCACCAUCGCCGGCCUCCAGGAGGGAGGAAGAGGCCAUGAGCCAAGCACGCAGGCCGGAAAAGCAAGCGGGAUUUCUGGGCCUACUGGAAAAAAGAAAAUGAUUUUAUGCAAAGAAAUUAGCCUCAUACUCUAUUUACAACCAUCAUGAAAUAAGAAAACUUAAACCCAGG
rnacentral:lncRNA from 1 species